GUUGGAGUUUUUGUUUCUGCACC
rnacentral:miRNA from 1 species